AUUGAACGCCGGCGGCAGGCUUAACACAUGCAAGUCGAGCGGGGGAAGGUAGCUUGCUACCGGACCUAGCGGCGGACGGGUGAGUAAUGCUUAGGAAUCUGCCUAUUAGUGGGGGACAACAUCUCGAAAGGGAUGCUAAUACCGCAUACGUCCUACGGGAGAAAGCAGGGGAUCUUCGGACCUUGCGCUAAUAGAUGAGCCUAAGUCGGAUUAGCUAGUUGGUGGGGUAAAGGCCUACCAAGGCGACGAUCUGUAGCGGGUCUGAGAGGAUGAUCCGCCACACUGGGACUGAGACACGGCCCAGACUCCUACGGGAGGCAGCAGUGGGGAAUAUUGGACAAUGGGGGGAACCCUGAUCCAGCCAUGCCGCGUGUGUGAAGAAGGCCUCAUGGUUGUAAAGCACUUUAAGCGAGGAGGAGGCUACUUUAGUUAAUACCUAGAGGUAGUGGACGUUACUCGCACAAUAAGCACCGGCUAACUCUGUGCCAGCCGCCGCGGUAA
rnacentral:rRNA from 1 species